UGUCCCCCUUUCCCCAACUGACUAGGUGUCCCCCUUUCCCUUUCCCCAACUGAGUAGGUAUCCCCCUUUCCCCAACUGACUAGGUAUCCCCCUUUCACCAACUGAGUAGGUGUCCCCCUUUCCCUUUCCCCAACUGACUAGGUAUCCCCCUUUCCCCAACUGAGUAGGUAUCCCCCUUUCCCCAACUGAGUAGGUAUCCCCCUUUCCCCAACUGAGUAGGUGUCCCCCUUUCCCUUUCCCCAACUGAGUAGGUGUCCCCCUUUCCCUUUCCCCAACUGACUAGGUAUCCCCCUUUCCCCAACUGAGUAGGUAUCCCCCUUUCCCCAACUGAGUAGGUAUCCCCCUUUCCCCAAAUGAGUAGGUAUCCCC
ensembl:lncRNA